rnacentral:rRNA from 1 species
GAUGAACGCUAGCGGCAGGCCUAACACAUGCAAGUCGAGGGAGAAGCCCUUUCGGGGGCAGAAACCGGCGCACGGGUGCGUAACGCGUAUGCAACCUACCUUUCACAGGGGGAUAGCCCGAAGAAAUUUGGAUUAAUACCCCAUAAUAUUAUUGGAUGGCAUCAUUUGAUAAUUAAAACUGCGGUGGUGAAAGAUGGGCAUGCGUCCUAUUAGCUAGUUGGAGUGGUAACGGCACCCCAAGGCUACGAUAGGUAGGGGUCCUGAGAGGGAGAUCCCCCACACUGGUACUGGGACAGGGACCAGACUCCUACGGGAGGCAGCAGUGAGGAAUAUUGGUCAAUGGUCGGAAGACUGAACCAGCCAUGCCGCGUGCAGGAAGAAUGCCUUAUGGGUUGUAAACUGCUUUUAUAUGGGAAGAAUAAGGCGUACGUGUACGUUGAUGACGGUACCAUAUGAAUAAGCAGCGGCUAACUCCGUG